rnacentral:rRNA from 1 species
AGCAACCGCGGUAAUUCCAGCUUCAAUAGCGUAUAUUAAAGUUGUUGCAGUUAAAAAGCUUGUAGUUGAAUUUCGGGAUCAGUACGCCGGUCGUGCCUUCGGUAUGCACUGGUGUCACUGGUUUCUCCCUUCUGAAGAACCAUCAUGCCAUUAAGUUGGUGUGGCGGGGAAUCAGGACUGUUACUUUGAAAAAAUUAGAGUGUUUAAAGCAGGCUCGCGCUUGAAUACAUUAGCAUGGAAUAAUGAAAUAGGACGUUUGACCCUAUUUUGUUGGUUUCUAGGAUCGACGUAAUGAUUAAUAGGGAUAGUUGGGGGCAUUAGUAUUCAAUUGUCAGAGGUGAAAUUCUUGGAUUUAUUGAAGACUAACUACUGCGAAAGCAUUUGCCAAGGAUGUUUUCAUUAAUCAAGAACGAAAGUUAGGGGAUCGAAGACGAUCAGAUACCGUCGUAGUCUUAACCAUAAACUAUGCCGACUAGGGAUCGGAUGAUGUUAAUUUUUUAAUGACUCAUUCGGCGCCUUACG